rnacentral:rRNA from 1 species
AUGAACGCUGGCGGCAGGCCUAACACAUGCAAGUCGAACGGUAACAGGAAGCAGCUUGCUGCUUUGCUGAAGAGUGGCGGACGGGUGAGUAAUGUCUGGGAAACUGCCCGAUGGAGGGGGAUAACUACUGGAAACGGUAGCUAAUACCGCAUAACGUCGCAAGACCAAAGAGGGGGACCUUAGGGCCUCUUGCCAUCGGAUGUGCCCAGAUGGGAUUAGCUAGUAGGUGGGGUAACGGCUCACCUAGGCGACGAUCCCUAGCUGGUCUGAGAGGAUGACCAGCCACACUGGAACUGAGACACGGUCCAGACUCCUACGGGAGGCAGCAGUGGGGAAUAUUGCACAAUGGGCGCAAGCCUGAUGCAGCCAUGCCGCGUGUAUGAAGAAGGCCUUCGGGUUGUAAAGUACUUUCAGCGGGGAGGAAGGGAGUAAAGUUAAUACCUUUGCUCAUUGACGUUACCCGCAGAAGAAGCACCGGCUAACUCCGUG